rnacentral:RNase_P_RNA from 1 species
CCAGAAGUUUGAACACUCGCAAGUCCUUUUAGGACUUGAGGAAAGUCCGGGCUCCAUAGGGCAAAAUGCUUGGUAACACCAAGGCGGAGAGAUCCGAUGGAAAGUGCAACAGAAAGUAAACCGCCUAGAUUUUUAAUUUAGGUAAGGGUGAAACAGUGAGGUAAGAGCUCACUUAUCUUGUGGGUAACCAUAAGGUACGGUAAACCCCGUUUGGAGCAAGAUCAUGCAGAGAAGUUGAGGCGGCCCGCUGAUUCUCGGGUAGAUUGCUUGAGAUUUAUAGUGAUGUAAAUCCUAGAUAGAUGAGUGUAGAUGAGUGCGUAAAGCACUUUGAACAGAACCCGGCUUAUAGAGCAUCUGGGAGC